rnacentral:misc_RNA from 1 species
CUGUGCUUCGGUGCAGCCAACCGCCGUGGAGCUGUCUUUUCACUGUUCCUCCCGAUGCGCUCUUUUGGGCGGGGGAGGGACUGCACGCUGUCGGUGGUCUGUGUGGUUCUACCCUUGUGCGGAACAAAAGUGGGCUUGAUAAUAGGCUUCUGCUUGCGCUGUCGGCACGUGUUGUCGUCGGCGCGGCUGAUUUGUUGGCAUAAUGCUUGUGCGGCUGCGGGCGUGUGAAUGCCUCCGGUACUGCACGCGCAUUUUGUCGGCUCUCACGGAUGCGGUGCGCAUUGAGGAAUCCAUGCGUCUUCGGUCGCUGGAUUACUUCGGGAUGUCCCUUGCACGGGUUGUCGCUCCGUUGCUUUGCUUCGGGUCGCGCUCCCGUGCCUGCGAGAUGCUUGCCCGGUUGAAAGAGACGAUUGCCUGAUCUCGUCGUGUGAAGGCCU